ACAAACUUGGUCAUUUAGAGGAAGUAAAAGUCGUAACAAGGUUUCCGUAGGUGAACCUGCGGAAGGAUCAUCAAUGAAUUUAAACAUUCAUUUGGCUUUGGUGGGAAAGGGAAGCCCUUUUUGGGUCAACUGAACCAUUUCAUUGCCUUAUCAACCAUUAGUCUUUGUCCAACAAAGGUGUCUCGAGAGAAAUUUACUUUUCUCCUAGCCCUUUGCGAUUGACAUCGACUUUUUGCAGAGUGUCUGGGUAGGUUCGCCCUCCCUUGGUUUGGUAGGUUUUAUUAUCUUCCAAAACAAAAAAGGGCAACCUCUCUCACUCGUUUUCUGUGGGCAUCAAAAAAAAUAAAAUACAACUUUUAACGAUGGAUCUCUUGGCUCCCGCAUCGAUGAAGAACGCAGC
rnacentral:misc_RNA from 1 species